rnacentral:rRNA from 1 species
AUGAGCUUCGCUCAAGAGCAUAGCUCAUACCAAAACAAUUACUCACAUGGGUGGCCUGAUAACCCAAUUAUGUCAUAUAGGAGCAACAACCCUGAGAUCUCAUCGUUUGCCUCUAGUUAUCCAAUGCAGGGAUUUAGGUACAAUGAGGAGAGCCACAACUAUGCUCCACAACAGUCUUAUUCAGCUCCUAUUCAUAUACCUCAGCACCAGGAGAUGUGUCCAAUGGAGUUAAAUGGUCCUCCAUUUGGUCAACCAAUAACUUCAGCACCUAAUGAGUCGGUAGAGCAAUCUCAUGUGCAAGUGCCCACACAAGAUGAGUUUGAUGGCAUAGACAAGCUCACACUUUUUAGUCUCGAGUUCACUUGGAGUGUUGAGGAUGAUCCUAUUAGGAAGGUUAUACUAGAGGAAAUGAAGAAGAUCAAGAGUGGAAAAGAGCUAGUGGAAGAAGUAAGGAAGAUUGAGAAGAACAUCAACGCUGGCAGCACUAUUUCUUCACAGCUAGAGAUGAGUAUUUCUGGGAUAUCCUUUGAUACAUGUGAGGUUCCAACACCGUCACAUACAGCUGAGCAAGAUAGCAAGAGUUCAGAGGAAGAGAGACCUCAGAUUUAA